rnacentral:snRNA from 1 species
GUGCUUGUUCUGCAGCACAUAUACUAAAAUUGGAGCAAUACAAAGAAGAUUAGCAUGGUCCCUGCACAAGGAUGACACAUAAAUUCGUGAAGGGUUCCAUAUUUAA